UGGCAUGCAUCGAUAUGGUACAUGUAUGAUCAUUAAAUCAAUAAAUGAUGUGAUUCUAACUAAAAUAUGAUCUUAUUACUGCCUUUCCUAAAUAAGUGUUAAAGCCCACUUUUCACCUUAAGAACGGAUUUCUUCAUAAAAUUAAUUGCCUAUCAUAAUGGAUAACUUAUAAGUAAAAGAGAUUAAUAAUGUUGUUUUAAGGAUUUGACCAAUACAAAUUCCAUUCUAU
rnacentral:lncRNA from 1 species